rnacentral:rRNA from 1 species
GGAUCUAAAAAAGUUUGUUUUGCUUAUUAAUAAAGACAAUUAAAUGGCUGCGGUAACACUAACUGUGAAAAUGUAGCGUAAUCAAUUGUUAAUUAAUUGUUGACCGGUAUGAAUGGUGUCACGAAAGUUUCUCUGUCUUAAAAAAAUACUUAAUGAAAUUGAAUUUGUAGUGAAGAUGCUACAUUAAAAUUGUAAGACGAGAAGUCCCCAUGGAACUUUACUGAGGGCUUAGGGGUUUUCUAUAAGCGGGACAGUUUUGUUGGGGCGACAGUUUUUUAAAAAGUAACAAAAACGAACUAUGGCGUAGCUUCACCCUGAAAAACUUUUUAAGGGACAUUUUUGGUGUGUUUUAUGAACCGUUGUUUGGAAUGAAAAAAAUAACGAAAACAAAUAAAAGUUACCCUGGGGAU